rnacentral:rRNA from 1 species
UACGUAGGGUGCGAGCGUUGUCCGGAAUUAUUGGGCGUAAAGAGCUCGUAGGUGGUUUGUUACGUCCGCUGUGAAAUCCUAGGGCUUAACCCUGGGCUUGCAGUGGAUACGGGCAGACUAGAGGUAGGUAGGGGAGAAUGGAAUUCCUGGUGUAGCGGUGAAAUGCGCAGAUAUCAGGAAGAACACCCGUGGCGAAAGCGGCUCUCUGGAACGGUACUGACGCUGAGACGCGAAAGCGUGGGGAGCGAACAGG